GGGACACGAGAAAUCCUGUCUGAAGCUGGGUAGACCACUAUCCAACCCUAAAUACUACUACCAGAUCGAUAGCGAACAAGUACCGUGAGGGAAAGGUGAAAAGAACGGCGGUGAGCCGAGUGAAAUAGAACCUGAAACCAUUUGCUUACAAUCAUUCAGAGCACUAUGUAGCAAUACAGUGUGAUGGACUGCCUUUUGCAUAAUGAGCCUGCGAGUUGUGGUGUCUGGCAAGGUUAAGCUAACGCGAAGCCGUAGCGAAAGCGAGUCUGAAUAGGGCGCUAAGUCAGAUGCUGCAGACCCGAAACGAAGUGAUCUAUCCAUGAGCAGGUUGAAGCUAGUGUAAGAACUAGUGGAGGACCGAACCCGCUAGCGUUGAAAAGCUAUGGGAUGACUUGUGGAUAGGGGUGAAAGGCCAAUCAAACUUCGUGAUAGCUGGUUCUCUCCGAAAUAUAUUUAGGUAUAGCGUUGUGUCGUAACUAAAGGGGGUAGAGCACUGAAUGGGCUAGGGCAUACACCAAUGUACCAAACCCUAUCAAACUCCGAAUACCUUUAGUGUAAUCACAGCAGUCAGGCGGCGAGUGAUAAAAUCCGUCGUCAAGAGGGAAACAACCCAGACUAACAGCUAAGGUCCCCAAAUCUUACUUAAGUGGAAAACGAUGUGAAGUUACUUAAACAACCAGGAGGUUGGCUUAGAAGCAGCCAUCCUUUAAAGAAAGCGUAAUAGCUCACUGGUCUAGUGAUUUUGCGCGGAAAAUAUAACGGGGCUAAAGUAAGUACCGAAGCUUUAGACUUGCACACAACUUAGAUGAUUUAAAUUUGGAAUAUGAGAAGCUAAAUUUGUUUUUAUUUAUUUUUGCUUAUCUUUAUUCAUUUUUAUAGAGUAAAGAUAAAAACAAAAACUUCGUAAAAAUAAUAAAAUUUAGUAAAAAACAAUAAAAAUAUUCUUAGAUUAAAAGUUAAGUCGUUUAAGUUGUGUGCAAGUGGUAGGAGAGCGUUCUAUUUGCGUCGAAGGUAUACCGACAAGGAGUGCUGGAGCGAAUAGAAGUGAGCAUGCAGGCAUGAGUAGCGAUAAUUAAUGUGAGAAUCAUUAACGCCGUAAACCCAAGGUUUCCUACGCGAUGCUCGUCAUCGUAGGGUUAGUCGGGUCCUAAGCUGAGUCCGAAAGGGGUAAGCGAUGGCAAAUAGGUUAAUAUUCCUAUACCAACAUUAGUGUGCGAUGGAAGGACGCUUAGGGCUAAGGGGGCUAGCGGAUGGAAGUGCUAGUCUAAGGUCGUAGGAGGUUAUACAGGCAAAUCCGUAUAACAAUACUCCGAGAACUGAAAGGCUUUUUGAAGUCUUCGGAUGGAAAGAAGAACCCCUGAUGCCGUCGAGCCAAGAAAAGUUUCUAAGUUUAGCUAAUGUUGCCCGUACCGUAAACCGACACAGGUGGGUGGGAUGAGUAUUCUAAGGCGCGUGGAAGAACUCUCUUUAAGGAACUCUGCAAAAUAGCACCGUAUCUUCGGUAUAAGGUGUGCCUCCCUUUGUACUAGAAUUCACUUCGAAAGCAAAGAAGGUUACAACAAAGAGUCCCUCCCGACUGUUUACCAAAAACACAGCACUCUGCUAACUCGUAAGAGGAUGUAUAGGGUGUGACGCCUGCCCGGUGCUCGAAGGUUAAUUGAUGGGGUUAGCAUUAGCGAAGCUCUUGAUCGAAGCCCGAGUAAACGGCGGCCGUAACUAUAACGGUCCUAAGGUAGCGAAAUUCCUUGUCGGUUAAAUACCGACCUGCAUGAAUGGCGUAACGAGAUGGGAGCUGUCUCAAAGAGGGAUCCAGUGAAAUUGUAGUGGAGGUGAAAAUUCCUCCUACCCGCGGCAAGACGGAAAGACCCCGUGGACCUUUACUACAGCUUGACACUGCUAUUUGGAUAAGAAUGUGCAGGAUAGGUGG
rnacentral:rRNA from 1 species